AUGGCCCUGGAGACGCGCGGGUAGACGACCCUGGAGGGGUGUCCCAUGAUGCGGCGGCCCUUGCGGUGGCGGAACAGGUACACCGCCGCGCCCACCGGCCACUCUAUGACGCCGGUCACCACGAACGCCAGGAACCCCAGCGUGGGCCCAAUGAACUUGCACCGGCACGGGUUCUCCCUGGUCCCGCACUGCACGCACGCCGGCACAAACGCCAUGGCUAACCUAGCAAGCUCCUUGCCGAAUCCGAGUUCUCUGUUUCAAGUUAUGGUGGACGAAUGCUCUGGCUGUUGGUGA
rnacentral:rRNA from 1 species